UGUGGUUUUAUCAAGGCAAUGGAAAUCAUCACAAUUUGAAGGCUUUUGAGAAGGAAAAGCCUUUCAUUUUCUUUGUUUGUGCAGUACAAUCUUCUUUUAGCAUUUCUUUAACACGAAGAAUGGAAAAAGCCAGAAAUGCAUUUUUUUUCA